rnacentral:misc_RNA from 1 species
GACUGAAUUCUGUUUUGGCUGAUCCUGGGGAUAGGGCCCUGGGUCAAUAGUUAAUUUCUUAUUUCCCGGAAGUGCAUAAGUGUUGCCCUCCAGCAUUCUAGGAAGCCUAAUUCGAAAGGGAGGCCUUGGAUGCAAGCUUUCUGUGCUGUCUGGAUUUACAAAACAAACCUGGAAUCUAGAAAGCUCUCCUUUAACUGUUCUGCAUCAAGGACAGUAUCUUUGAAAUCUACUGUUUCAAGAAGAUCAGGCAUAUUGGUCCAGUGUGCUGCAGAAGGAUUCUCAUAGCCCAGAAAUAUGUUGUGCA